rnacentral:rRNA from 1 species
UACGUAGGGGCCAAGCGUUGUCCGGAUUUAUUGGGCGUAAAGAGCUCGUAGGCGGUUCGGCAAGUCAGCUGUGAAAUCUCCACGCUCAACGUGGAGGGGUCAGCUGAUACUGCUGUGACUUGAGUCCGGUAGGGGAGUGUGGAAUUCCCGGUGUAGCGGUGAAAUGCGCAGAUAUCGGGAGGAACACCAGUAGCGAAGGCGGCACUCUGGGCCGGUACUGACGCUGAGGAGCGAAAGCGUGGGAAGCAAACAGG